rnacentral:rRNA from 1 species
GACUCUGUUCAACGGCCGCGGUAUUCUGACCGUGCGAAGGUAGCGUAAUCACUUGUUCUUUAAAUAAGGACUUGUAUGAAUGGCACCACGAGGGUUAUGCUGUCUCCCUUUUCUAAUCAGUUAACCUAAUCUUCCCGUGAAGAAGCGGGAAUAUCACUAUAAGACGAGAAGACCCCAUGGAGCUUUAGACGAACAGCACUUGCUAGCUACUUUUCUUUCAACAAGCCAAGCAUACUGACUGCUAGUUUUCGGUUGGGGCGACCACGGAGAACAAACUAACCUCCACGCUGGAAGAAACCUUUUCUUAACCAUAAGCCACACCUUUAAGUAUUAACAACUUAACAUCCAUUGACCCAAUAAAAUUGAUCAACGAACCUAGUUACCCUGGGGAUAACAGCGCAAUCCAUUUCAAGAGCUCCUAUCGACAAAUGGGUUUACGACCUCGAUGUUGGAUCAGGGUAUCCCAGUGGUGCAGCC